rnacentral:tRNA from 1 species
GGAGAGGUGGCAGAGCGGUUGAAUGCGGCGGUCUUGAAAACCGCUUUACCCGAAAGGGUAACGGGGGUUCGAAUCCCUCCCUCUCCG